rnacentral:rRNA from 1 species
AUUGAACGCUGGCGGCAUGCUUUACACAUGCAAGUCGAACGGUAACAGGGUGCUUGCACCGCUGACGAGUGGCGAACGGGUGAGUAAUGCAUCGGAAUGUACCGUGUAAUGGGGGAUAGCUCGGCGAAAGCCGGAUUAAUGCCGCAUACGCCCUGAGGGGGAAAGUGGGGGACCGAAAGGCCUCACGUUAUACGAGCAGCCGAUGUCUGAUUAGCUAGUUGGUGAGGUAAAGGCUCACCACGGCGUCGAUCAGUAGCGGGUCUGAGAGGAUGAUCCGCCACACUGGGACUGAGACACGGCCCAGACUCCUACGGGAGGCAGCAGUGGGGAAUUUUGGACAAUGGGCGCAAGCCUGAUCCAGCCAUGCCGCGUGUCUGAAGAAGGCCUUCGGGUUGUAAAGGACUUUUGUCCGGGAGCAAAUCCUAGUGGUUAAUACCUACUGGGGCUGAGAGUACCGGAAGAAUAAGCACCGGCUAACUACGUG